UAGGCUUUCCUAUUUUCUCAAACCGUAUGCAUACUUGGGCUUUGCUUCUCGACUUUAUGACAUUGCCCCACUUAUGUCAUGGUUUAUUAUGGUGUCCACCAGGAGGAUAUAGGCAUUGUUCUAUCUGGUAUCUCGGGAAGAAUAAACUCAAACCAAGCUAAUUAUUUGGGAGACCAGUUCACUGAGGAGGAAGUCAAAACUGCUCUCUUUCAACUCUCAGGGGGUAAAGCACCAGGAAAAUGAACUUGGAAGGCGGGUCGGAUUCGUGGCAGCUCGGCAUGUGUAUUGAGGAUAAAUGAAUUGAAGGGACUGUUGGAAGAUCGAGGAUGGUGUUGUUUUCAAGUCUUUGAUUUUUUUUUUUUUUAUGUAUUUCUGCACUUAGUUUUUAAAUAAAUUCAUUAAAGCUUAUGUUCUUUUAUG